UGUCAAUGUCAGAAUAAAUUUCCUUUUUCCUUCGUGUUUUGACUUCAGCUAAUAUUCUCAAUUUACAAAAUUACGACGAAAUAAAGUGUUUCGGCUUUCAGCCUGCUCAUUUGAUGGAUCCUUGGGGUGACAAAGUACAGACUACUGCGGUUGUAUCGGAAUUUGAAGACAAUUUCAAACCGGAGCCACAGGUUGAAAAGCUAUCUGACUCCGCCGAGUAUCUCGCUAUAUUGGAGCGAAAACUCAAGCAGAUUAGAAACAAGAACAAAGUUGUCGAAAACUUGUCCGCAUACCGCGCCGACUGCAUUGAUCGUUUGAUGAGAGAAGGCUGUGAUUUGGACCCUGUCAUCGGUGAUACUGAAUCUGAGAAGCUGCUGCAAGAAUAACUAUCAAUCCACAAGAACUACUAUAUGACGCGAACAUGACGGGCCGCAAGAGUCUCUUCAUAUUCCUGAUGGGGUUGGCAUGGAAAUGCCGGUUCAGCAUGCCGUUGCUGCUCAGCGGUACGGUCGCCAUCUUGGGCAGGGCAUGGAUGUUCCAAAUUAGAGUGCACACGGUCCGGAGAUUACACGAGAAUGAGGCAACUGGCAUAUUACGAUGAAGAAGAGGAACAAGAAGAUGAUGACGGCUCCUGGGAGACUGAGUCCACGGAUUCUUGGGAGACCAUCGUGGAGGAAGUAGCCUAUGGAUGAACAUACAUUUUAUCGAAAAUUAUAUAGUAUUUUCUAAGCUAAAUUUAGAAACAUAACCUCAAAUAUAAUUCUGUAAAAGAAGGAAAAAAUGUGAAAACAGUUUUCUCAUGAAAAAUUAAUUGUGUCUACCGUAUCGUCCUAAACAAGUUAUACGAAAAAAAAAUUCUUAAAAAUAAAAUUUUGUUGCAGAAAGGAAAGAUACAAAAACGUUUUUUUCUUGUAAACUAAGUUCUAGGUCGGAAAAAUAACUUGCCAAAACCAAUAUGUUUAUGAAAUUGUUUAAUAUCGAGUAGGUACCUAAAUUUAUUGUAAUUGUUAUCCAUAUUAAAUUCCAAUUUUGAAGUAAGUAUUGUGUUUUUAAACUAAAUAUUAUUUUUGAUUUUAAGUUGUAAUAAUUAAUAUGUCAUUAAUUAGUCAUUGUAAGUAGAUUUACUAUUAUCACAGAAUUAUAAAAGACUAGCUUUUGCUCGCGACUUCAUCUACGUUCUUCGUAAUAGUCAACUCUAAUAGUCAAAUUUCAUCAAAAUCGAUUCAGUGGUUUAUGCGUAAAAGUGUAACAAACAGACAGUGUUACUUUCACAUUUUUAUUAUUAGCAGGUAUAGGGAAUACUAACUAUUGACCAGCUGUUGCCUGCGACUUCGUCCGCUUUUUAAGUACAGACACCGGUCAUUUACGAUCUUAAUAUAUUUAAAUAUUUUAUUAGAUACGAAGGGAUUUAACAGCAGAAUAAAAAAUAUAGUGAAAGUAAUAUU
rnacentral:misc_RNA from 1 species